UACGGGGGGGGGCAAGCGUUGUUCGGAAUUACUGGGCGUAAAGGGCUCGUAGGUGGCCAACUAAGUCAGACGUGAAAUCCCUCAGCUUAACUGGGGAACUGCGUCUGAUACUGGAUGGCUUGAGUUUGGGAGAGGGAUGCGGAAUUCCAGGUGUAGCGGUGAAAUGCGUAGAUAUCGUAAGGAAGACCAGUGGCGAAGGCGGGUCUCUGGACAGUUCCUGACGCUGAGGCACGAAGGCCAGGGGAGCAAACGGG
rnacentral:rRNA from 1 species